rnacentral:rRNA from 1 species
CCUACGGGUGGCAGCAGUGGGGAAUUUUGGACAAUGGGCGCAAGCCUGAUCCAGCUAUUCCGCGUGUGGGAUGAAGGCCCUCGGGUUGUAAACCUCUUUUGUCGGGGAGCAAAGCGAACCACGUGUGGUUCAUUGAGAGUACCCGAAGAAAAAGCAUCGGCUAACUCCAUGCCAGCAGCCGCGGUAAUACGGAGGAUGCGAGCGUUAUCCGGAUUUAUUGGGUUUAAAGGGUGCGCAGGCGGAGGUGCAAGUCAGCGGUCAAAUUGCGGGGCUCAACCCCGUACUGCCGUUGAAACUGCAUCCCUUGAGUGCGCGAGAAGUAUGCGGAAGGCGUGGUGUAGCGGUGAAAUGCAUAGAUAUCACGCAGAACUCCGAUUGCGAAGGCAGCAUACCGGCGCGCAACUGACGCUCAUGCACGAAAGCGUGGGUAUCGAACAGGAUUAGAUACCCGAGUAGUC